rnacentral:rRNA from 1 species
GAUGAACGCUAGCUACAGGCUUAACACAUGCAAGUCGCGGGGCAGCAUGGGGGUUGCUUGCAAUCCCCGAUGGCGACCGGCGCACGGGUGAGUAACGCGUAUCCAACCUGCCCUUCACCACGGGAUAACCCGGCGAAAGUCGGACUAAUACCGUAUGUUGUCCAUUGACGGCAUCCGAUUUGGACGAAAGGUUUGGCGGUGAAGGAUGGGGAUGCGUCCGAUUAGCUGGACGGCGGGGUGACGGCCCACCGUGGCGACGAUCGGUAGGGGUUCUGAGAGGAAGGUCCCCCACACUGGAACUGAGACACGGUCCAGACUCCUACGGGAGGCAGCAGUGAGGAAUAUUGGUCAAUGGGCGUAAGCCUGAACCAGCCAAGUAGCGUGCAGGAUGACGGCCCUAUGGGUUGUAAACUGCUUUUAUGCGGGGAUAAAGUGGCCCACGUGUGGGUUUUUGCAGGAACCGCAUGAAUAAGGACCGGCUAAUUCCGUG